rnacentral:misc_RNA from 1 species
GAAAUGCGAUAAGUAAUGUGAAUUGCAGAAUUCAGUGAAUCAUCGAAUCUUUGAACGCACAUUGCGCCCGCCAGCACUCUGGCGGGCAUGCCUGUUCGAGCGUCAUUUCAACCCUCAGAACCCCUUGCGGGAUCUGGCGUUGGGGAUUGGCAUCCAGCCAGCCCCGAAAUCUAGUGGCGGUCCCUCCGCGACCUCCCCUGUGCAGUAGCGAUACCUCGCAGCGGGACAGCGGUCUGACCACGCCGUAAAACCCCCAACUUCUCUAGGUUGACCUCGAAUCAGGUAGGAAUACCCGCUGAACUUAAGC